AUGCUCACAGCUGUCCCUGAGAGGUGCCGCUCUCCUGCCAUCGAAGUCGCAGGGAAAUUCUGCUGCACUGACGUGUUCCAAGUGCCAGAUAGAGUUGUGUGCUCUUAUACUUUUGAGAGUGGUUUAAUAUUUACUCAUUCAUUAAUGUUUCACUCUGGGCCUUGUAUUCACUCAUUUAGAGGCACCAAUUCAGCUCCUGUUCUGUGGAGACACUGCGUGGGUGCUGGAGAAACAAAGACACAAGCAGCUCCUCUCAUAGGAGUUCAGAGCCCAGCAGGGAGAUAGAUGGAUGAACGCAUGGUUAUGCAUCCAUGGGGUGCACCAGCACUGAAGUCCAAGCACUAUAGGCCUGAGUCCCAGCGUGCCUGACCCCUUCCCAUUCUGUCCUCCCGUAUCACAGCCCAAUCCAUCCUAUUGACUUCCUGCUUUAUCCCCUAUGCUGCUCUCAGCCUGGACCCUGUAUCUAGGACCCUGGCCUCUAGCAAGGACUGGAGCUCUGAAGCACUCUUUGGUUCUCCCAGUCUCUCUCCCAGGAGCUUAGAUCUUGCCUCCCCCCUGGUGAACACAGCUAGACCCUGUCCUCUGAAUUUACCUCUCCUCCAGUACCACUUUUUUCCUAUUGUUGCCCAGUCUUAGUUUGAUCUAGCCAGGACCUUUGGACACUGGCUUUGGACUGCCUGGCUAUUCUUGCUGGAUGCUGUUCUUAGCAUUUAUCUCAGAUCUUCUCCUCCGUUCUCACUGUAGCUGUCUGUGCCCAUGCCUGUUCUUGCUUUGAGAUCUCCCAGCUUGUCUCAGGUCAAAGUCUUCCAACAUAGCUCUUCCCCUUAGCCCUACAUGGUCAUGAUCCUUGUGAAUAGCUCUUUUGGCAGAGAAACUUCCUUAGAUCUCUUCAGAAGGGAGGAGCAAGAUUUUGCUUCUGUCAGAUAUAGCCCAUGUUCUGAGGCUUUGUGAGCCUACAAAUGCAGUCAUUAGCAUAAUUCUUCUUUUUUUUCUUUUUGACACAGGGUCUUAUUUUGUCUCCCAAAGUGGAGUGCAGUAGUGCAAUCUCGGCUUACUGCAACCUCUGCCUCCUGGGCUCAAACAAUCCUCUCACCUGAGCCCUCUGAAUAGCUGGGACUACCAACAUGAGCCACCACAUCCAGCUAAUUUUUGUAUUUUUUGUAAUUUUUUGAGAUGGGGUUUUGCUAUGUUGCCCAGGCUGGUCUUGAACUCCUGGGCUCAAUCAAUCCUCCUGCCUUCACCUCCCAAAGUGUUAUGAUUACAGGUGUAAGCCACUGUGCCUGGUCCAUUCACCGAUCUCAUUAUAAGACCUAGAAGAUGACUGGUGAGGUAUGAAGUGACAUAUAACUCACUCAUUAACUCCACAGUGUGGAAGUCAAAUGCUUUGUGUUCACUUCAAGGGAAAGUAUAAAAUUGUGUAUUAAAUAACUUAAUGAAAUAUAAAUGUAUAUGUCUCUGUGUGUGUGUGUGUGGGUAUAUGUGUGUAUACAUAUAUUAGUGGGAAAGAUGGAAAUGAAAAUCAGUAUUUCUUAGCUUCUUAUUUUAAUUGUUAUGUCAUGCAAAUAAAUUUCAACAUAUACUUUUUGGUGUGAUAGGGUUAUUUCAUUUAGAUAAUGACAAGGUUGAAGAAAAAAUGUUCUUUCCAUAAUAUUACUCCUUGAUGUACCUAAGCUUUAGGAUUACUUCUGCUGUUAAACUAAUUUGCCAAUAUGCCUCUCAACGUUGUAUUUCUCUGCAAGAAUAACAGCUUAAAACAUAAAAAGACUCCACAAAAAAAGAAGAAAAAUGUUCCUUCAAACAGUUUAUUUAUUUUUGUGGACAGAGUCUCAUUCUUUAGCCCAGGCUUAAUGCAGUGAUAUGAUUUUAGCUCACUACAGUCUCUGCCUCUUGGACUCAAGUGAUCCUCCUGGCUCAGCCUCGCAAGAAACUGGGACUACAGACAUAGCUCACCAGGCCCAGCUAUUUAUUUAUUUAUUUACUGGUAGAGACAGGGCUUCACUAUCUUGGCUGGUCUGGUCUCAAACUCCUGAUCUCAAGUGAUCUGCUUGCCAAGGCCUCCCAAAGUGCUGGGAUUACAGGCUUCAGCCACCAUGCCUGGCCCCAUACCAUUUAUUUUGGGGGCAACAGUGCUAUUUCAAAAUCAGAGUACUUAGUUUCAAG
rnacentral:lncRNA from 1 species